GUGGAGUGGGAGGGUAUGAAGGAUUGAAAGCAAGAGGAUUUGCAUAUUGCUUUGAUAGGCAGUGCUGAGAGAGAGAGAGAGAGAUAGAGAGAGAGAGAGAGAGUUCAGUCCGUGCUGGCAGAGGUAAAGCAUGGCGUGUUGCUCUAACAGCCUUGUCUCCCAUUAGGAGGAGUAGCAGCGUGGUUUAGCGGAAGUGGGGAGGCAGUCUGAGCUGGGGUAUGGGGGACACGGGGGAGAGGAAGGUAUGAGGAGAUGAGAGGAGGGUAGAUGAGAGGAGGGAGGGAGGGAAGGGAGGAGAGAGGGAGAGAGAGGAGAAAGAGGGGGUAGAGGUGAGAGAGAGGGAGAGAGAGAGGGGGGGGUAGAGGAGAGAGGGUUAUCCUAGCAGCAGCAGUGAAGUCUGGCAUGUCCCCUACCGCUGGGAGCCGUCCUCUGAAACGGGAAAGAUGAUUUUGGGGCCCUUUCCUUUAAGCAGCCUGCCAUACUGGAAUCAGCCAGUAGUGCUGGAGUUGGUCUGGGAUGUGCUUAGCUUUUUAAAUGAAUGUGUUAGCUAGUACCCAACAUGGGGCAGGCUACUGGCAGCAUCAACACAGCUAGAUUAGGGGGCAGGCUACUGGCCGCAUCAAUACAGCUAGACUAGGUGGCAGGUUACUGGCAGCAUCAACACAGCUAGACUAAGGGGCAGGUUACUGGCAGCAUCAACACAGCUAGAUUAGGGGGCAGGCUACUGGACGCAUCAACACAGCUAGACUAAGGGGCAGGUUACUGGCAGCAUCAACACAGCUAGACUAGGGGGCAGGUUACUGGCAGCAUCAACACAGCUAGAUUAGGGGGCAGGAUCCUGGCAGCAUCAACACAGCUAGACUAGGGGGCAGGUUACUGGCAGCAUCAACACAGCUAGACUAGGGAGCAGGUUACUGACAGCAGCAUCACCACAGCUAGACCAGGGGGCAGGUUACUGACAGCAUCAACACAGCUAGACUAAGGGGCAGGUUACUGGCAGCAUCACCACAGCUAGACUAGGGGGCAGGUUACUGGCAGCAUCAACACAGCUAGACUAGGGGUCAGGAUCCUGUCCGCAUCAACACAGCUAGACUAGGGGGCAGGCUACUGGCAGCAUCAACACAGCUAGACUAGGGGGCAGGUUACUGGCAGCAUCAACACAGCUAGACUAGGGGGCAGGUUACUGGCAGCAUCAACACAGCUAGACUAGGGGGCAGGUUACUGACAGCAUCAACACAGCUAGACUAAGGGGCAGGUUACUGGCAGCAUCAACACAGCUAGACUAGGGGGCAGGUUACUGACAGCACCAACACAGCUAGACUAGGGGCAGGUUACUGACAGCAUCAACACAGCUAGACUACAAACUGUUUCUGGAGAGGCAGAACUGAGUGGGUCAUGAUGAGUGGAGUCAUUCUAAAACCCUCUACUGCUAAUGAUUGGACUUAUUGUAAAGCUCCAGGGCCUGGAUAGACAUGUUGCCUAGCAGUCCACUGACUGACUGACUGGAACAGACUACGAUGUACUGUAGCAGCAGCCCAAACAACCUAUUCAGGCAUCAACAGGCCUUCAGCCAGCGGUCCCAGAGUCAGUCAUGAGGAAUAUUAGGAGAUGGAGAGUGUUUGUGUGUGUGUGUGUGUGUGUGUGUGUGUGUGUGUGUGUGUGUGUGUGUGUGUGUGUGUGUGUGUGUGUGUGUGUGUGUGUGUGUGUGUGUGUGUGUGUGUGUGUGUGUGUGUGUGUGUGUGUGUGUGUGUGUAGGGACAGUACUAGCAGAUGAGUGUGUCAGUGUGUGUGUGCAGUGGUGGGGGGAUGGGGGAUAGUGACAAGGGUCUGUAUCCUAUGAGCAAAUAUUGCUCUGCUUGAGGGUUUUGCUGAGGUCGAUAAGGCCUAUAUUUACUGACAGAGAGAGAUGUGUAUUAAUUUAUUCCACGGAGGGCAGUUAAUCAGAGCAUUCUAGAUACACUGACAUGGUUCUCUGCUGGGGGUGGGGUCAGAGGCAGGGAGGACAGGGACUGUGACUUUUAUCUCCAGGGUGCAUGGGGGGUUGAUGGGGUCAUGUGCUGUGCUCUGAUAGUGAGAGGCAAACGUGGGGGAGGAGGGGAAGACGAGGGGAGGAGGGAUGGAGAGCGAUCUUCAGGCAGCUCAAAGAACGUCAAGGAAAAACGGGUGAAGGGAGAAUGACAGAGAGAGGGUAGGAGAGAGAGGGAAGCAGAUGGAGGGGGAGAGAGAGAGACAGGCAGAGAGAGAGAGAGAAAGAGAAAGUGCAUUCUCAGCUGGGUCAGCAUUAGUGCUGUGUUAGUGCUUCCUGUGCCAAGGAGAGGAAUAAACGUGGACAAUUGGAGGGAGGGGAGGGAGAGAAAACACAGCUGGGGCCAGGGAGGGCAUCCACUUAAAGACAGUUCAAUAGAAAUGAGUGAAAGAAGAGGGAAAGGAGGGAAGAAGGAGGAGAAGAGAGAGGUGAGAGUCAGUUUGACCCUUUCUCCUCUAGUCCAUGCCCCUCUCCUCCUCUCUCUCCUCCUCCAGUCCCAAAGGUUAAUUUGAUGCUAAUAUGGCCUAUAUUGUGAGGACGAUCGUUAUCUUAGGCUCAGGCUCUGAACUUUACCUGCAGGCCAUUGGAAGGAGCUGGAGGGGGAGCCAUUGGAAGGAGCUGGAGGGGGAGCAAUUAGAAGGAGCUGGAGGGGCAUCCAUUGGAAGGAGCUGGAGGGGGAUCCAUUGGAAGGAGCUGGAGGGGGAGCAAUUAGAAGGAGCUGGAGGGGCAUCCAUUGGAAGGAGCUGGAGGGGGAUCCAUUGGGAGGAGCUGGAGGGGGAGCCAUUGGAAGGAGCUGGAGGGGGAGCAAUUAGAAGGAGCUGGAGGGGCAUCCAUUGGAAGGAGCUGGAGGGGGAUCCAUUGGGAGGAGCUGGAGGGGGAUCCAUUGGAAGGAGCUGGAGGGGGAUCCAUUGGGAGGAGCUGGAGGGGGAUCCAUUGGAAGGAGCUGGAGGGGGAGCCAUUGGAAGGAGCUGGAGGGGGAUCCAUUGGAAGGAGCUGGAGGGGGAUCCAUUGGGAGGAGCUGGAGGGGGAUCCAUUGGAAGGAGCUGGAGGGGGAUCCAUUGGGAGGAGCUGGAGGGGGAUCCAUUGGAAGGAGCUGGAGGGGGAUCCAUUGGAAGGAGCUGGAGGGGGAUCCAUUGGAAGGAACUGGAGGGGGAGCCAUUGGAAGGAGCUGGAGGGGGAGCCAUUGGAAGGAGCUGGAGGGGGAGCCAUUGGGAGGAGCUGGAGGGGGAUCCAUUGGAAGGAGCUGGAGGGGGAGCCCUUGGAAGGAGCUGGAGGGGGAUCCCUUGGAAGGAGCUGGAGGGGGAGCCAUUGGAAGGUGCUGGAGGGGGAGCCCUUGGAAGGAGCUGGAGGGGGAGCCCUUGGAAGGAGCUGGAGGGGGAGCCAUUGGAAGGAGCUGGAGGGGGAGCAAUUAGAAGGGCACUAGAGGAGGAGCCAUUGGAAGGUGCUGGAGGGGGAGCCCUUGGAAGGAGAUGAAGGGGGGUAGUGGCGUGCGGGACAGCUGUGUAUUUGACACAAUCUGCCAUUGCAUUGGUUAGUCCUGUUUGGGAUUAAUUCUGUUCUGAAAAUAUCCAUUAUAUUGCUUAACCAGUAGACUUACUGCAUGUAGCAAUUAUGCUGUAUUACUGUUUACUAUGGUGAAGUCUGUCUAUCUGAUGUCCUUUUAGUGACAAUAACGAUGAUCUUGUCACGUCCUGACCAGUAAAAGGGGUUAUUUGUUAUUGUAGUUUGGUCAGGGCGUGGCAGGGGGUGUUUGUUUUGUGUGUUUCGGUGUUUUUGGUUUAUGUUCUAUGUUAUCUAUUUCUAUGUGUUUAUCUAGUUUUCUAUUUCUAUGUUGGUUUUUGGCAAUGACCUCCAAUUAGAGGCAGCUGGUUGUUGUUGUCUCUAAUUGGAGGCCAUAUUUAGUUGGGUUUGUUUUCUCUUGUGUUUUGUGGGUGGUUGUUUCCAGUAUAGUCUGUGCACCUUACUGGACUGUUUUCGUCGUCAGUUUAUUUUGUUUAAGUGUUUUCUUUAAUAAAGAAAGAAGAUGAGCACUUUACCCGCUGCGUUUUGGUCCAAUCCUUACGACGCCCGUGACAGAACCACCCACCAAACAAAGACCAAACAGCGGGGAUUGGAGCACCAAACAAGGACCAAGCAGUGGGGAUUGGAGCACCAAACAAGGACCAAGCAGCGGGGAUUGGAGCACCGAAGAGAAGGAUGGACGUGGGAGGCAGAACAAUGUUUCUGGGAGAGGAAACUAAGGGAGCUAGAUGAGGCCGAGAGGCAUCCCCCCCCCAAAAAAAAAAUGGGGGGGGGGGCACACGGGGAGUUGGGCAGAGUCAGGAUGGAGACCUGAGCCAACUCCCCAUGCUUAUUAUGCGGAGAUACGCGGAGAUACGCACUGUGUCGCCCAUACGCAUGCACAGUCCGGUGCGGUCAAUAAGGGCUCCGCAACGUUGCCAGGCGAGAGUUAGCCGGCAGCCAGGGAGAAGUGCGCCGGCGCAGCGCAUCUGGCCACCAGUGCAUCUCCUCGGUUCAGUUUACCCUGUUCCUGCUCCUCGCACUAGCCCUGAUGUGCGUGUUACUAGGCUGGCGCCUCCAACACCAGCCCCACGCAUCAGGCCUCAGUGCGCCUGCCCAGUCCAGUACGUCAUGUUCCCGCUCCUCGCACUAGCCCUGAGGUGCGUGUCACUAGUCUGGCUCCUCCAAAGCCAGCCCCACGCAUCAGGCCUCUAGUGCACCUGCCCAGUCCAGUACGUCCAGUUCCUGCUCCCCGCACGAGCCAUGAGGUGCGUGUUACUAGUCUGGCGCCUCCUAAGCCAGCCCCACGCAUCAGGCCUCUAGUGCGCCUGCCCAGUCCAGUACGUCCUGUUCCUGCUCCCUGCACUAGCCAUGAGGUGCGUGUUACUAGUCUGGCGCCUCCAAAGCCAGCCCCACGCCUCAGGCUUCCAGUGCGCCUGCCCAGUCCGGUACGUCCUGUUC
rnacentral:lncRNA from 1 species